rnacentral:lncRNA from 1 species
GAGGGAUUAACUGCAGCCCUGCUGGCUCUAGGGAGUGGGGGAAGGAAGAUGCAACUUCCUAGAGGGAAGCAAACAAGUUAUGUAUAAAGAAAACAGCGUGAGGAGGGAGAGAUCUGAGCUUUCUUCCACAUCAACAGCGGUGCUGCUAUUCAACCAAUGUGCAAAUACAUAAGAAACUUCAUGUAAGGCUUUUUUUUUUUUUUCUUUUACACAUUUC